rnacentral:rRNA from 1 species
GACGAACGCUGGCGGCGUGCCUAAUACAUGCAAGUAGGACGCAGUUGCGAACGGGUGAGUAACGCGUAGGUAACUACCUAUUAGAGGGGGAUAACUAUUGGAAACGAUAGCUAAUACCGCAUACUAGUAGAUGGACAUGCGUUGUAUUAGCUAGUAGGUAGGGGAAUGGCCUACCUAGGCAAACAUACAUAGCCGACCUGAAAGGGUUGUCGGCCAAACUGGGACUUGGACACGGCCCAGAAGCCUACGGGCGGCAGCAGUAGGGGAUCAUCGGCAAUGGGGGGAACCCUGACCGAACAACGCCGCGUGAGUGAAGAAGGUUUUCGGGUCGUAAAGCUCUGUUGUUAAGGGAGCGGUACUUAACCAGAAAGGGACGGCUAACUACGUGCCAGCAGCCGCGGUAAUUC